CGAACGGGUGAGUAACGCGUGAGGAACCUGCCUCAAAGAGGGGGACAACAGUUGGAAACGACUGCUAAUACCGCAUAAGCCCACGGCUCGGCAUCGAGCAGAGGGAAAAGGAGCAAUCCGCUUUGAGAUGGCCUCGCGUCCGAUUAGCUAGUUGGUGAGGUAACGGCCCACCAAGGCGACGAUGGAUAGGGGUUCUGAGAGGAAGGCCCCCCACAUUGGUACUGAGACACGGACCAA
rnacentral:rRNA from 1 species